rnacentral:rRNA from 1 species
AUUGAACGCUGGCGGCAGGCUUAACACAUGCAAGUCGAGCGGGGAAGAGUAGCUUGCUACUUAACCUAGCGGCGGACGGGUGAGUAAUGCUUAGGAAUCUGCCUAUUAGUGGGGGACAACAUCUCGAAAGGGAUGCUAAUACCGCAUACGUCCUACGGGAGAAAGCAGGGGACCUUCGGGCCUUGCGCUAAUAGAUGAGCCUAAGUCGGAUUAGCUAGUUGGUGGGGGUAAAGGCCUACCAAGGCGACGAUCUGUAGCGGGUCUGAGAGGAUGAUCCGCCACACUGGGACUGAGACACGGCCCAGACUCCUACGGGAGGCAGCAGUGGGGAAUAUUGGACAAUGGGGGGAACCCUGAUCCAGCCAUGCCGCGUGUGUGAAGAAGGCCUUUUGGUUGUAAAGCACUUUAAGCGAGGAGGAGGCUACCGAGAUUAAUACUCUUGGAUAGUGGACGUUACUCGCAGAAUAAGCACCGGCUAACUCUGUGCCAGCAGCCGCGGUAA